rnacentral:rRNA from 1 species
AUUGAACGCUGGCGGCAGGCUUAACACAUGCAAGUCGAACGGUAACAUAAAGAAGCUUGCUUCUUUGAUGACGAGUGGCGGACGGGUGAGUAAUGCUUGGGAAUCUAGCUUAUGGAGGGGGAUAACUACGGGAAACUGUAGCUAAUACCGCGUAAUAUCGAAAGAUUAAAGUGUGGGACCUUCGGGCCACAUGCCAUAGGAUGAGCCCAAGUGGGAUUAGGUAGUUGGUGAGGUAAAGGCUCACCAAGCCGACGAUCUCUAGCUGGUCUGAGAGGAUGACCAGCCACACUGGGACUGAGACACGGCCCAGACUCCUACGGGAGGCAGCAGUGGGGAAUAUUGCGCAAUGGGGGCAACCCUGACGCAGCCAUGCCGCGUGAAUGAAGAAGGCCUUCGGGUUGUAAAGUUCUUUCGGUAGCGAGGAAGGCAUUUAGUUUAAUAGACUAAGUGAUUGACGUUAACUACAGAAGAAGCACCGGCUAACUCCGUGCCAGCAGCCGCGGUAAUACGGAGGGUGCGAGCGUUAAUCGGAAUAACUGGGCGUAAAGGGCACGCAGGCGGUGACUUAAGUGAGGUGUGAAAGCCCCGGGCUUAACUGGGAAUUGCAUUUCAUACU